GACGAACGCUGGCGGCGUGCUUAACACAUGCAAGUCGAACGGAAAGGCCUGCUUUCCCUUGUGGAUUGCGGGUACUCGAGUGGCGAACGGGUGAGUAACACGUGAGUGAUCUGCCCCCAACUUGGGUAUAAGCCUGGGAAACUGGGUCUAAUUCCCGAUAGGACUGCAGGGUGGUGCCUGUGGUGGAAAACGAUUUUCUAGUGGUUGGGGAUGAGCUCGCGGCCUAUCAGCUUGUUGGUGGGGUAAUGGCCUACCAAGGCGGCGACGGGUAGCCGGCCUGGGAGGGUGGACGGCCACAUUGGGACUGAGAUACUGGCCAGACUCCUACGGGAGGCAGCAGUGGGGAAUAUUGCACAAUGGGCGGAAGCCUGAUGCAGCGACGCCGCGUGGGGGAUGACGGCCUGCGGGUUGUAAACUCCUUGCGACCGCGAGGAAGCCACCUGGUUGGAAGGGUGGUGACGGUAGUGGUAGAAGAAGCACCGGCUAACUACGUG
rnacentral:rRNA from 1 species